rnacentral:rRNA from 1 species
GCCCCGGAGCCUUCGGGCAAAGGGGAGUGGUGGAGCCGACGAACCAGACUUGCAGUAGGUGAGUGAUGGGGUGACGCAGGAAGGUAGUCCAUCCCGGGCGGUGGUUGUCCCGGGGUAAGGGUGUAGGCCGUGCGAUAGGUAAAUCCGUCGCACAUGAGGCUGAGACCUGAUGCCGAGCCGAUUGUGGUGAAGUGGAUGAUCCUAUGCUGUCGAGAAAAGCCUCUAGCGAGUUUCAUGGCGGCCCGUACCCUAAACCGACUCAGGUGGUCAGGUAGAGAAUACCGAG